UACGGGGGGGGCAAGCGUUGUUCGGAAUUACUGGGCGUAAAGGGCUCGUAGGUGGCCAACUAAGUCAGACGUGAAAUCCCUCGGCUUAACCGGGGAACUGCGUCUGAUACUGGAUGGCUUGAGUUCGGGAGAGGGAUGCGGAAUUCCAGGUGUAGCGGUGAAAUGCGUAGAUAUCAGGAGGAACACCAAUGGCGAAGGCAGCUCGCUGGGACGGUAUUGACGCUGAGACGCGAAAGCGUGGGGAGCAAACAGG
rnacentral:rRNA from 1 species